GUCCUGGCCAGAGUCUCCCCAUCCAGCUCAUGACACGUCUGACUGGACCUCUCUGUGAUGUCACAGUAGGCCCUGCCAGUUCCAGGUAUAUGAGGGACCUAGUGCUGCCCAGGUCAGUCCUUUCCUAGUCCACCUCUGGAUGAGUCACCACCAGCGGAUCCAGUCAGGAAGGAGAGAAUGUGUAUGGACAGGUUCAGCCGCCGCUCCAUGGGAAGGGGUAGGAGAAGGAGGUACAGCAGCCGCAACUGUGGCCCCAGCUAUGCCUACAAGUACAAGUCAUCAAGGGCCCGCAGGAGAGGGAGACGCAGGAGAAGGCACUAGGUUGCCAUCUUACCAACGGCAGUGACGUCAACAGUCAUGUGACACCAUCAUCAGUCAUGUGAUACCAUCAUUAGCCAUGUGAUACCAGUAGUCUCCUGAUAAAGGGCCACGUUUCCUGCACUUAUCUCAGUGACCUCUGAGAGAAGAUAAGAUGGGAGUACACGGCCCCCAUACUUUGCGGUCCCUGUACGUCCACACAUCAGCAUUAAAUAAAGCGUCAGCAGAGUA